AGUAGGUCAUAGUGAUCCGGUGGUUCUGAAUGGAAGGGCCAUCGCUCAACGGAUAAAAGGUACUCCGGGGAUAACAGGCUGAUACCGCCCAAGAGUUCAUAUCGACGGCGGUGUUUGGCACCUCGAUGUCGGCUCAUCACAUCCUGGGGCUGAAGUAGGUCCCAAGGGUAUGGCUGUUCGCCAUUUAAAGUGGUACGCGAGCUGGGUUUAGAACGUCGUGAGACAGUUCGGUCCCUAUCUGCCGUGGGCGUUGGAUGAUUGAUUGGGGCUGCUCCUAGUACGAGAGGACCGGAGUGGACGCAUCACUGGUGUUCCAGUUGUCUCGCCAGAGGCAUUGCUGGGUAGCUAAAUGCGGAAGAGAUAAGUGCUGAAAGCAUCUAAGCACGAAACUUGCCAAGAGAUGAGUCAUCCCUGACUUUAAGUCAGUAAGGGUUGUUGUAGACUACGACGUAGAUAGGUCAGGUGUGUAAGUGUAGUGAUACAUUGAGCUAACAGAUACUAAUUGCCCGAGAGGCUUAACUAUACAACGCUCAAG
rnacentral:rRNA from 1 species